UACGGUUUUAUCACGUUGAAACACCAGUUCCCGUACGAUCAGAAAAGUUAAGCAACGUCGAGCCUGGUCAAUUUCUAGAUGGGUGACCGCUUGGGAAUACCAGGUGCUGUAAG